AGAGUUUGAUCCUGGCUCAGGAUGAACGCUAGCGGCAGGCUUAACACAUGCAAGUUGAGGGGUAACAUAAGGAAGCUUGCUUUCUUGAUGACGACCAGCGAACGGGUGCGUAACACGUAUGGAACCUACCUUAUACAGGGGCAUAGCCCAGAGAAAUCUGGAUUAAUUCCCCAUAACAUCUGAGAGUGGCAUCACUUUCAGAUUAAAGCUUCGGCGGUAUAAGAUGGCCAUGCGGCCCAUUAGUUAGUUGGUGAGGUAAUGGCUCACCAAGACUAUGAUGGGUAGGGGUUCUGAGAGGAUUAUCCCCCACACUGGUACUGAGACACGGACCAGACUCCUACGGGAGGCAGCAGUGAGGAAUAUUGCGCAAUGGACGAAAGUCUGACGCAGCCAUGCCGCGUGCAGGAUGACAGCCCUAUGGGUCGUAAACUGCUUUUAUAUGGGAAGAAACCCCUUCACGUGUGAAGGGCUGACGGUACCAUAUGAAUAAGCACCGGCUAACUCCGUGCCAGCAGCCGCGGUAAUACGGAGGGUGCAAGCGUUAUCCGGAUUUAUUGGGUUUAAAGGGUCCGUAGGCGGGUCUUUAAGUCAGUGGUGAAAGCCUGCAGCUCAACUGUACAACUGCCAUUGAUACUGGAGACCUUGAGUACAGCUGAAGUUGGCGGAAUGUGUCAUGUACCGGUGAAAUGCCUAGAUAUGACACAGAACACCGAUUGCGAAGGCAGCUAACUAAACUGUAACUGACGCUGAGGGACCAAAGCGUGGGGAGCGAA
rnacentral:rRNA from 1 species